rnacentral:lncRNA from 1 species
GGCCUCCAUUUGCUCUCUUUCCUCAAAAGAUUAGGGCUGGUAAGGUACGGUGGUACACACCUGUAAUCCCAGCAGCUCAAGAGGCUGAGGCAAAAAGAUCACUUGUUUGAGGCCAGCCUUAGCAACUUAACAAGUCCUUGUCUCAAAAUAAAAAGGAAUGGAGAUGUAGCUCUGUGAUAAAGUGCCCCUGAGUCAACCCCUAAUAGUAAUUAGGGCUGUUUCUAAUUACUUUCUCUCCUCUGUAUGACCAGGCACAGUUGGAGGGGUGACAUUUUAGGCAACAUGUUCUUUAAUUAAUUAAUUAAUGAUGAUGCUAGGAUUGAACCCAGGACCUCCUCCUCCCAUAGCCUUCCUUUAUGGCACUGCUUACCGCGUGCUUUCUUAUUCCUGAAUACCUUUCCACAUUCCCUCUGAUUCUCCUCAACCUUUUGCUUUCAAUGCAAUAAAUAUUUAUUGACUAAAUAAAGCAAUGUGAGGUGUGGCUAUCUAUAAGGACUUUCACAUACAUCACCUGCCUGGAGUACAACUGAUCACUUAAGGUAGGAAAUAGCAAAGAAGGAAAUAGACUGAGAAAGUUUGAGGGAUGUGACUAAAGUUUAACAGUUAAUAAUCUGGGGUCUCUUGUGCUAAAGUUCUUGCUCUUUCCACUUCAUUUUGUUGCUCUGUGCUAGGUUUUGGGAGCUGCAGCCAAAAGAAAUAAAUUCUCCUUGCCUUCAAGUUUACAGUUCCCUAGGGGGAAGAGGGGAAAGAAAGAACAAGACAUAUGGGCCUCAGAGAGGUACACCUCAAAGGUUGUGGUUCUCUAAGGAAAAAAAAAAUCCAACUAUUUGGGAGAAAAGAAAAGCUUCAUGGAAUAGGAAAGAUUUGGACUGGGCUCUGAUUUGGACUGGAGAUAUAGCAGUUAGGGAAGCAUGUCGCGGAGCCAAUACCAUGAACAUAGGAGAAAACAGUAGUUUAGUGUGGCUGAAGCUCAGGAUCUGUGUUCAAGACAAAAAGGAAAUAAGGGGACAGACAGGGCUGUUUUGAUGAGGCCUUGGGUGUCAGUUUUGGGAUUUUGCAUUUUAUCCCAGCAACAAUGAGUAAGACUUUUUAGGCAAGAAAAGGGCAUGCUGCAAGCUCAGCAUUUAAAAGAGGAAAGACAGGCACCCUGGUGCACACCUGCAAUCCAG